CGGAGCAACGCCGCGUGCCCGGAGGAAGGCUCUUGGGUUGUAAACCUCUUUUCUCAAGGAAGAUAAUGACGGUACUUGAGGAAUCAGCAUCGGCUAACUCCGUGCCAGCAGCCGCGGUAAUACGGAGGAUGCAAGCGUUAUCCGGAAUAAUUGGGCGUAAAGCGUUCGUAGGUGGUUCUGUAAGUCUGCUGUUAAAGCGUGUAGCUCAACUACAUAUAGGCGGUGGAAACUACAAAACUUGAGUGCGUUCGGGGUAGAGGGAAUUCCUGGUGUAGCGGUGAAAUGCGUAGAGAUCAGGAAGAACACCGGUGGCGAAGGCGCUCUACUAGACCGCAACUGACACUGAGGGACGAAAGCUAGGGGAGCGAAUGGGAUUAGAUACCCCAGUAGUC
rnacentral:rRNA from 1 species